CAGCUAAGGUCCCAAAGUUUAUAUUAAGUGGGAAACGAAGUGGGAAGGCUUAGACAGCUAGGAUGUUGGCUUAGAAGCAGCCAUCAUUUAAAGAAAGCGUAAUAGCUCACUAGUCGAGUCGGCCUGCGCGGAAGAUGUAACGGGGCUCAAAUAUAGCACCGAAGCUGCGGCAUCAGUGGAAACACUGUUGGGUAGGGGAGCGUCGUGUAAGCGGAAGAAGGUGGUUCGAGAGGGCUGCUGGACGUAUCACGAGUGCGAAUGCUGACAUAAGUAACGAUAAAACGGGUGAAAAACCCGUUCGCCGGAAGACCAAGGGUUCCUGUCCAACGUUAAUCGGGGCAGGGUGAGUCGGCCCCUAAGGCGAGGCUGAAGAGCGUAGUCGAUGGGAAACGGGUUAAUAUUCCCGUACUUGUUAUAAUUGCGAUGUGGGGACGGAGUAGGUUAGGUUAUCGACCUGUUGGAAAUGGUCGUUUAAGUUGGUAGGUGGAGCGUUUAGGCAAAUCCGG
rnacentral:rRNA from 1 species